rnacentral:misc_RNA from 1 species
CUGAGUUCUGGGUCUCCAAGACCCGACCUCCAACCCUUUGUUGUCCGACUCUGUUGCCUCGGGGGUGACCCUGACCUGCUCGCGGGUUUUGGGGCCCCCGGUGGACAUAUCAAACUCUGCUUUAAUUUGUCGUCUGAGUAAAUUGAUUAAAUCAAAUCA